GCGGGGUUGCAGGAGUGGCUCCUGUGCCGGGCCAGUUCCCCGGAGACGCUGGUUCGAGUCCAGCCCCCGCUA
rnacentral:tRNA from 1 species